UGGGGAAUUUUGCACAAUGGGCGCAAGCCUGAUGCAGCGACGCCGCGUGAGGGAUGAAGGCCUUCGGGUUGUAAACCUUUUUCGCUCAUGGUCAAGCCGCAGCUUUGGGUUGUGGUGAGGGUAGUGGGUAAAGAAGCGCCGGCUAACUACGUGCCAGCAGCCGCGGUAAUACGUAGGGCGCGAGCGUUGUCCGGAAUUAUUGGGCGUAAAGGGCUUGUAGGCGGUUGGCCGCGUCUGCCGUGAAAUCCUCUGGCUUAACUGGGGGCGUGCGGUGGGUACGGGUUGACUUGAGUGCGGUAGGGGAGACUGGAAUUCCUGGUGUAGCGGUGGAAUGCGCAGAUAUCAGGAGGAACACCGGUGGCGAAGGAGGGUCUCUGGGCCGUUACUGACGCUGAGGAGCGAAAGCGUGGGGAGCGAACAGG
rnacentral:rRNA from 1 species